UCUAGUUAUCACUGAGCAACACUCACACAGUGUUGAGGCAUCUCCCAUGCUUUUCACUGAACCCCAGCAGGGAGGAGGCUGUGAGGGGACACAGACAGGACAGCUGCCCUCACAGCUGACAAUAGUGAUAUUCCAUCCCAUAUGGCAUCAAGCUCAGCAUGUAAAGCUGGGGGAAGAAAGAGGAAUGGGGGGGAUGUUUGUGGUUAAUGGCAUCUUUCUUCCCAAGCCACUGUUACACAUGAUGGAGCUCUGCUUUCCUGUAGAUGACUGAACACCUGGCUGCCCAUGGGAAGUGGUGAAUGAGUUCCUUGUUUUUCUUUGCUUGAAAACCAAAGCCAUGAAGGAAAAUAAGUAUUGGAGACCUGGUUACAUCUUGCUAAAUCACAAGAGAAUUUGAAGUAAUAAGUCCACUGGAUAAAAGCAGCAUGCAUGAUGGAAAUUGCAGACUUUGAUCCCUCAUUCCUUUUCUGGGAGACACAGGAUGACUAAGGAGAAGCAGGAGCAGGAGAACCUCCUGAAGCAGAAUUUUCAAGCAGAAUACCAGUUCUUGAUUCAACACAGGAUGAAUCUAGCAGACAGUGACAUUGCUACAGACUUGGAUUUUCAUGGUAUUUAGGAGAGUUAUAUGGAUCCACUUUCAAAAUCAUGUUGUGUCUGGAAAAAAAAACCUCUGCAGCUAAAAGAAGCAUUACUUUCCAGCAAUGUGGAGAAAGUGGAGAUCAAUCAUGUCUGUAACUAAGUUACAUUUUCUUUGUGUAUUAUUUUGUGUAUUCUCUUGAAAUUAAUCCAUAAAGAGUGAGAACUUGAA